rnacentral:rRNA from 1 species
GUCUUUGAACAUACCACCCUGAACACACCUGAUCUCAUCUGAUCUCAGAAGCUAAGCAGGGUUGGGCUGGUUAGUACUUGGAUGGGAGAUCACUUGAAAAUAUCAGGUGCUGUAGGCU